GACUGCAGCUCAACUGUGGGAGAGCAACUGAAACUGAUGAACUAGAGUGCGGUAGGGGUAGAGGGAAUUCCCCAGUGUAGCGGUGAAAUGCGUAGAUAUNGGGAGAACACCAGUGGCGAAGGCGCUCUACUGGGCCGCAACUGACGCUGAGGGACGAAAGCUAGGGGAGCGAAAGGGAUUAGAUACCCCUGUAGUCCUAGCCGUAAACGAUGGACACUAGGUGUUGGGCGUAUCGACCCGUCCAGUAUCGAAGCAAACGCGUUAAGUGUCCCGCCUGGGGAGUACGCACGCAAGUGUGAAACUCAAAGGAAUUGACGGGGGCCCGCACAAGCGGUGGAGUAUGUGGUUUAAUUCGAUGCAACGCGAAGAACCUUACCAGGGCUUGACAUCCCGCGAAUUCUGGUGAAAGCCGGGAGUGCCUUCGGGAGCGCGGAGACAGGUGGUGCAUGGCUGUCGUCAGCUCGUGUCGUGAGAUGUUGGGUUAAGUCCCGCAACGAGCGCAACCCACGUCCUUAGUUGCCAGCAUUGAGUUGGGCACUCUGGGGAGACUGCCGGGGACAACUCGGAGGAAGGUGUGGACGACGUCAAGUCAUCAUGCCCCUUACGUUCUGGGCUACACACGUACCACAAUGCUUUGGACAGAGGGCAGCGAACUAGCGAUAGUGAGCUAAUCCCAGAAACCGAGGCACAGUUCAGAUUGCAGGCUGCAACUCGCCUGCAUGAAGGAGGAAUCGCUAGUAAUCGCCGGUCAGCAUACGGCGGUGAAUACGUUCCCGGGCCUUGUACACACCGCCCGUCACACCAUGGGAGUUGGCCACGCCCGAAGUCGUUACUCUAACCGUUCGCGGAGGAGGGUGCCGAAGGUGGGGCUGAUGACUGGGGUGAAGUCGUAACAAGGUAGCCGUACCGGAAGGUGUGGCUGGAUCACCU
rnacentral:rRNA from 1 species